GAACCUGAGUUAAAGAUGGGAACUGUGCUGUCAUACUUUUGCCAUUUGUGUGGACACGGAAAUAAGGAAGAGAAGGAGAGAUGCUUGCGGGCUAAUGACAGCACUUUCAACCUAUCUUUCCGCUAUGCUAACAAUGCCAUCAAGACCUCCAAAUACAACAUCUUCACCUUCCUGCCACUUAAUCUUUUUGAGCAGUUCAAGAGGCUCGCUAAUGCCUACUUCCUCUUCCUGCUCAUCCUUCAG